CGGGCCGGGUGCGAGCGGACUGAGGAGCGGAGCGCGACUGCCGGGCCGGGCGAGGCGGGCGGACGGCGGAGAGCGAGGGCGCCGUCGCCGUCUCUGAGACGCACAAAGGGCCGAGGCUGGGGCCGCCGCCGCCGCCGCCUCAGCGCACGGGCCUGGAACCGGCAGCCCCCGGGGCUCGGCGAGAAGGCGGUGCGGGCGGCCAUGGCCGGCUACGUGCCGGGUCAGCAGCCGGCCAACCGCAGCCAGGAGAAGGAGUUCGUGCAGGCGUACGAGGAUGUGCUGGAGCGCUACAAAGAUGAACGGGACCGGGUUCAGAAGAAAACGUUCACCAAGUGGGUCAACAAGCACUUAAUGAAGGUCCGCAAGCACAUCAACGAUCUUUAUGAAGAUCUGCGGGAUGGCCAUAACCUGAUCUCUCUGUUGGAGGUCCUCUCAGGCAUCAAACUGCCCCGGGAGAAGGGCAGGAUGCGUUUUCAUAGGCUGCAGAAUGUGCAGAUUGCCCUGGACUUCCUAAAGCAGCGACAGGUAAGACCAUCACAUGCCUUCCCCAUUCUUCCAGGCUGUGUUGGCAUUGGGGCCCUAUUCAGAGAUGUUUUUAGUGCCCCUAGUAAGCUCUCAGUAAAUGCUAAAUCUGAUUGACCCAGUUCUGAGUCUUAACUUGCUAGUGAGCAAUUGUAUUCUGGUUAGAUAAAUCAUUCAGUACUCCUUACACAGAACUUGUGACCUCCUUGAGAGGAAGAAUGUUCACGGAGAAGAACAUGAUGAUAAAGAUGGAAUUUUGUGGGUGCACCUUAGGUGGGG
rnacentral:sRNA from 1 species